UGUACUUAGGCUCACCAAAAUAAUGUUAUUUACUCCUAAGAAAUCCAAGACACAACAAAUAAAGUUACAAUUCUACUUAGAAGCAUCAAUUUUUAGGAUGACUGUGUAAGUCUCUGUUCAAGAAGUGCCAGUUCACGCAUAUUGUCUGAUGGAACUGUAGUAAUGACCCUUUCUUUCACUCCAUGACUUUUUAAAAGUAACAACCAGCAUUUAAAGAAAACAAAACAAAACAGGACUGUAUCACAUAUAGUAAAGAAAGCUGCUAAUACAAGAAAUCUCAACCUUCUGGAGUAGUUGUAUUCAUUUACUUAUAAUUCUUACAUGGAGAACAAUAUAAUGUAGAGAACAAUACAAGGAUAUUCACGUUUGAGGCACAGCUCUAGUAAUAAACCAUUAUCCAUGUGAA